GGUUUAAAGAGAUUUGAGUACGGCCCAAAUAUGGUAUGGGGUAAUGUUCCUCCAUGGAUAUUUCCAGUUCCCAAUGUAGACUUGAAACUUUUAGAACUAAAGAAAGAAUGGACUGAAAGGAACGCUGAUAAUAUUGGAUAUUUGGUUCAGGAAUAUGUUAAGCAGAACUACUAUCAGUAUAUACCAAUAUUCACUGAUGGAUCUAAAGAUUCAAGGAAUGAUCAUGUAGGAGUAGGAGUGUACAUACCAGAGUUUGAUGUAACCAUAUGCAAAAGAAUUAAUGACAAAUUAUCUGUAUUUACAGCUGAAGUAGUAGCCAUAAUUUUAGGAUUGCAAUGGGUAGAAGAAGUAAGACCUCAAAGAGUUAUUAUCUGUUCGGACUCUGUUGCAGCUCUUAAUAGUUUGAAUUCAACUGAAACAAUAAGAGAGGAUUUAUAUAAAGAGAUAUCCAUGAUAAUGUUAAAUAUAGAGAGAAUUGGAAUUAAUCUUCAGUUUUGUUGGGUUCCAGCUCAUACUGGCGUGGAGGGCAAUGAGAUAGCAGAUUUGACUGCAAAGAAUGCACUGAAAUUAAAGGACGAGGAAAUAAUGAAAGUCCCAUUUGGUAAAGGUGAGGCCAAAUCAUUAAUUAAAACAAAAGUGAGAGAAUCAUGGCAGAAAAAGUGGGACAUAGAUAACAAAGGGCGAUAUUAUUAUAAUAUUCAGAAAUCGAUUAACGUCAAGGCUUUUAAAGGGAAAUGCAGAAGAGAAGAAGUGAUUAUAUCAAGAUUAAGACUUGGACAUACUGGUUUAAAAUCAACCCUGUUUUUAAUGGGAAAAUGCAUAUCAGAUAAUUGUGAUGACUGUAAUGUUCCAGAAAAUGUGGAGCAUAUCAUUAUGAGGUGUAAAAAAUAUAAUGCAGAAAGGAGGAUCUUGCAAGAUAAGAUAUAUGAGUUGGAACAAGAAUGGAGUUUGAAGGGGAUUUUGGGGGCAGAUGAGAAAAUGUGGGAAUGUAGCAAGGCUCUCUUUAAUUUUCUUAAAGAUACAGGG
rnacentral:lncRNA from 1 species